UACAGAGGUGGCAAGCGUUGUUCGGAAUUACUGGGCGUAAAGGGCGCGUAGGCGGUUCGUUAAGUCCUGUGUGAAAUCCCCCGGCUCAACUGGGGAACUGCACAGGAAACUAGCGGGCUUGAGUUCGGGAGAGGGAAGCGGAAUUCCGGGUGUAGCGGUGAAAUGCGUAGAUAUCCGGAGGAACACCGAUGGCGAAGGCAAUCCCCUGGGCCUGCACUGACGCUCAUGCACGAAAGCGUGGGAGCAA
rnacentral:rRNA from 1 species